AGUCAAAAUUGAGUAUGUAUUUUAUGUAUUUCUACCUUUAGUAACUGAUAUGCAUGCAUUAAAAUUUCGAGUAUUUUCAAAAUUAUCAACCCGCCUAAUGGAAACAGAGCAGGUAUUGCCUACGAGCCAACACUGUCCCAGCAAAUUGCACAUUUCCGAGCCGUUCCACUCCGAAUUACAAUUAAAGAGUGCUCAAGUUGUUGAACAUAAAAAGCAUCUGUGUCGUGGUCAAGCUGUCUGUUCUGAUAAAUUAGCAUGUUUUUAAAUUGGUAAUGCA